rnacentral:rRNA from 1 species
UCGGCCGCUUUUGUUUCUCGAAGCAAAAAGUGAGUUGGAGCAUGUAUGUUGGGACCCGAAAGAUGGUGAUCUAUGCUUGUGUAGGGCGAAGCCAGGUGAAAAGCUGGUGGAGGUCCGCAAACGGUUCUGACGUGCAAAUCGAUCGUGAGACAUGGGUAUAGGGGCGAAAGACUCAUCGAACCAUCGAGUAGCUGGUUCCCUCCGAAAUUUCCCUUAGGAUAGCUAUAAUCAUGUUAGUUUCAUCAGGUAAAGCGAAUGAUUAGAGGGUUGGGGGGCGAAAUGCCCUCGACCUAUUCUCAAACUUUAAAUGGGUGAGCACGCGGGGUUGCUUUUGUGAAGCUCGCGGUUGAAUAGUG